rnacentral:rRNA from 1 species
UACGAACGCUGGCGGCGUGCUUAACACAUGCAAGUCGAACGGAAAGGCCCUGCUUUUGUGGGGUGCUCGAGUGGCGAACGGGUGAGUAACACGUGAGUAACCUGCCCUUGACUUUGGGAUAACUUCAGGAAACUGGGGCUAAUACCGGAUAGGAGCUCCUGCUGCAUGGUGGGUGUUGGAAAGUUUCGGCGGUUGGGGAUGGACUCGCGGCUUAUCAGCUUGUUGGUGGGGUAGUGGCUUACCAAGGCUUUGACGGGUAGCCGGCCUGAGAGGGUGACCGGCCACAUUGGGACUGAGAUACGGCCCAGACUCCUACGGGAGGCAGCAGUGGGGAAUAUUGCACAAUGGGCGGAAGCCUGAUGCAGCAACGCCGCGUGCGGGAUGACGGCCUUCGGGUUGUAAACCGCUUUCGCCUGUGACGAAGCGUGAGUGACGGUAAUGGGUAAAGAAGCACCGGCUAACUACGUG